rnacentral:rRNA from 1 species
UGAACGCUAGCGGCAGGCCUAAUACAUGCAAGUCGAACGGUAACAUGAGAGCUUGCUCUUGAUGACGAGUGGCGCACGGGUGCGUAACGCGUAUGCAACCUACCCUUUACUGGGGGAUAGCCCGGAGAAAUUCGGAUUAAUACCCCAUGGUAUCCUAAUGCCCGCAUGGGCUGUUAGGAUUAAAGAUUUAUUGGUAAAGGAUGGGCAUGCGUGACAUUAGUUAGUUGGUGAGGUAACGGCUCACCAAGACGAUGAUGUCUAGGGGUUCUGAGAGGAAGAUCCCCCACACUGGUACUGAGACACGGACCAGACUCCUACGGGAGGCAGCAGUAGGGAAUAUUGGUCAAUGGACGCAAGUCUGAACCAGCCAUGCCGCGUGCAGGAUGACAGCUUUCUGAGUUGUAAACUGCUUUUAUAUAGGAACAAAGAGGCCCUGCGGGGCAAGUUGCGUGUACUAUAUGAAUAAGCACCGGCUAACUCC